GCGGCCCACAGGUCAGCCUCACCGACAGAAACGACCUCGUCCCGGCUCGUGUCUUCCCCUCCUGUUCUCUCCGCCAUUUUUGCCAAGAAAAUAAAGCAAUCAAUCAAAAACGAAAAAGGUGGCGAGAGGGAGAGGGAGAGGAAGGUGCCGGCCCUAGCAAUGGCGGGGUGGUACGAGGAGGCGGCGGGUCUGCUGCUGCGCCGGUCGGCGUUGGCGGAGAUGGCGGUAGAUGUGCUGCUGUGCGCCGUGCCGAUCUGGGCGGCGGUCAUGAUCGGCCUCUUCAUAGGGUGGGCAUGGCGGCCGCGCUGGACCGGGCUGAUCUUCCUCGGUUUCCGCAGCCGUCUCCGGCUCCUCUACGUGCCUCCCGGGCUCGGCGCGCGCCGCCUAUGGCUCGCCUGCACCGCGCUCUCCGCCUUCUCCGUCGCGCCGCAGCUGCUCUCCUCCGCCUUCCGCCGCCAUGGGAAGUACCAGCGCAAGGAUCCCUCGAACGACGACACGGACGCCUGCGGGGAUUCUGGCGCUUGCGCUAACGGCAGGUCAAUUUUUGAGGUCAAGCAUGGUAUUGUCACUGAGAAGGACCUAGAUCACCUCGUGCAGCUUUUAGAUAAUAAGGAGAGUGGGCAUACAACAUGGCAGCAUUUGAUGGAGCGUACCACUUCCAACAUGACGUACAAGGCCUGGAGGCAUGAGCCCGAGGUGGGACCUAUAAUGCAUUGUAGCCAGACCAUUUUCGAGGAUGCUACUCCUGAACUGGUUAGAGAUUUCUUCUGGGAUGAUGAUUUUCGUCUAAAGUGGGACCCCAUGCUUGUGUGCUUCAAAAUUUUGGAUGAGUUCCCUCUGAAUGGAACCACAAUUAUUCACUGGAUUAAAAAGUUCCCUUUCUUCUGCAGUGACCGUGAAUACAUUUUUGGGCGGCGUAUCUGGGAGUCGGGGAAGGCUUACUAUUGUGUUACGAAGGGAAUUCCUUAUCCAUCUUUGCCCAAGAAGGAAAAACCGAGGCGUGUGGAAUUGUACUUCUCGAGUUGGCGUAUUAGACCUGUUCAAUCGCCCAAAAAAGAUGGCCAGCAACACAUGGCAUGUGAAGUAACACUGUUUCACUACGAGGAUAUGGGCAUACCCAAGGAUGUUGCUAAAGUUGGUGUCCGCCACGGCAUGUGGGGUGCUGUUAAAAAGCUGCAGUCCGGCUUUAGAGCAUAUCAGCUAAUGAGAAAAUCAGAAAACAUCCUGUCACGCAGUGCCAUCAUGGCUCGGGUGACCACCAAGACAUGCAUUGCUGGUUCUGAUGGCUCCUUGGAUCAAGGGCCCUUCAGCACAGAACAAGCCAGUACAGAGGACGACAACUCCAGGGCAGUCCAACAUGGUUUCGACUGGAAGUGGGUGGUGGUCGGUGGCGCGGUGGCUGCCGUUUGCGUGCUUAACACCGGAAUUGUAGGGAAGGCCCUCUUACUUGGAGCUGCAAGAAGGCAGGCAAAGAAGUGAUGAGCAUCUACCAGCAUCCACAAAGUGAGCUUCACGACCAUCAGGGCCUGUCUCUGUCUAGAAAGUCGCAAUCGAGACCGAGGAUAAAGGAAUGAAAUCCAUACCAUACUACAGGAUGCAGAUAAUUCGGGUGCCUAAUUUUGGAUUGUGCCUUUUAAGCAGUAUAUCGCAAAUGUGUCUUGCUAUAACCGAUUAUGUGGUAUCAGGAAUCGUUAGAUGACGAUGUAUCUCAAGAUGCCUUCCGACUUCAAAGGAGAUGUUCCCGUCGAAGGCGAAGGCGAAGGCGUUUGUGGUGACUUCAUUAAUCUCAAGAUGAUGUGUUGACUGAGUCUCUUGGAGAUGUUCAUAGGGUAAAGUGUGUGCAUUGGGUUCAUAAAGCUGCUCCAUCGCAGAAGCGCUUCUUCCUAGUCCCUACGCACUGCCAUGGGCCGCGGCCGUCGUCUGAUGAAGGGUGGUGAACCUGUCGACACUGGCCGAGGUGUCGCUACCACGCCAAACAAGGAGCAAGUCACCUCCAAGACAAAGGUCAAGUGGAUGUCGCGCUUGUCAGUUGCUCCAUCGCAGAAGCGCUUCUUCGCAGUCCCUACGCACUGCCAUGGGCCGCGACCGUCGUCUGAUGAAGGGUGGUGAAUCCGUCGACACUGGCCGAGGUGUCGCUGCCACACCAAACAAGGA
rnacentral:rRNA from 1 species